UACGGGGGGGGCAAGCGUUGUUCGGAAUUACUGGGCGUAAAGGGCUCGUAGGCGGCCAACUAAGUCGGAUGUGAAAUCCCCAGGCUUAACCUGGGAACUGCAUCCGAUACUGGAUGGCUUGAAUCCGGGAGAGGGAUGCGGAAUUCCAGGUGUAGCGGUGAAAUUCGUAGAUAUCGAGAGGAACACCGGUGGCGAAGGCGGCCUUCUGGACAGUGACUGACGCUGAGACGCGAAAGCGUGGGGAGCAAACAGG
rnacentral:rRNA from 1 species